UACAGGGGGGGGCAACGUUGUUCGGAAUUACUGGGCGUAAAGGGCUCGUAGGCGGCCAACUAAGUCACACGUGAAAUCCCCCAGGCUUAACCUGGGAACUGCGUGUGAUACUGGAUGGCUUGAAUUCGGGAGAGGGAUGCAGAAUUCCAGGUGUAGCGGUGAAAUGCGUAGAUAUCUGGGAGGAAUACCGGUGGCGAAGGCGGCAUCCUGGACCGACAUUGACGCUGAGGAGCGAAAAGUGUGGGGGAUCAAACAGG
rnacentral:rRNA from 1 species